AGAGUUUGAUUAUGGCUCAGGAUGAACGCUGGCGGCGUGCUUAACACAUGCAAGUCGAACGAAGCUCCUUGAUCUGAGGAUUCGUCCAAAGUGAUGGGAUGACUUAGUGGCGGACGGGUGAGUAACGCGUGGGUAACCUGCCGUAUUCUGGGGGACAACAGUUGGAAACGACUGCUAAUACCGCAUAAGCGCACGGUACCGCAUGGUACAGUGUGAAAAAACUCCGGUGGAAUACGAUGGACCCGCGUCUGAUUAGCUAGUUGGUGAGGUAACGGCCCACCAAGGCGACGAUCAGUAGCCGGCCUGAGAGGGUGAACGGCCACAUUGGGACUGAGACACGGCCCAAACUCCUACGGGAGGCAGCAGUGGGGAAUAUUGCACAAUGGGGGAAACCCUGAUGCAAGCGACGCCGCGUGAGUGAAGAAGUAUCUCGGUAUGUAAAGCUCUAUCAGCAGGGAAGAAAAUGACGGUACCUGACUAAGAAGCCCCGGCUAACUACGUGCCAGCCGCCGC
rnacentral:rRNA from 1 species